GACGAACGCUGGCGGCAUGCUUAACACAUGCAAGUCGAACGGGAAGUGGUGUUUCCAGUGGCGAACGGGUGAGUAACGCGUAAGAACCUGCCCUUGGGAGGGGAACAACAACUGGAAACGGUUGCUAAUACCCCGUAGGCUGAGGAGCAAAAGGAGAAAUCCGCCCAAGGAGGGGCUCGCGUCUGAUUAGCUAGUUGGUGAGGUAAUAGCUUACCAAGGCGAUGAUCAGUAGCUGGUCCGAGAGGAUGAUCAGCCACACUGGGACUGAGACACGGCCCAGACUCCGACGGGAGGCAGCAGUGGGGAAUUUUCCGCAAUGGGCGAAAGCCUGACGGAGCAAUGCCGCGUGGAGGUGGGAGGCCUACGGGUCGUCAACUUCUUUUCUCGGAGAAGAAACAAUGACGGUAUCUGAGGAAUAAGCAUCGGCUAACUCUGUG
rnacentral:rRNA from 1 species